rnacentral:rRNA from 1 species
UACGUAGGUGGCAAGCGUUGUCCGGAUUUACUGGGCGUAAAGAGCGCGCAGGCGGUCGUUCAAGUCGCGUGUGAAAGCCCCCGGCUCAACUGGGGAGGGUCACGCGAUACUGAUCGACUCGAAGGCAGGAGAGGGUAGUGGAAUUCCCGGUGUAGUGGUGAAAUGCGUAGAUAUCGGGAGGAACACCUGUGGCGAAGGCGGCCACCUGGGCCGACCCUGACGCUGAGGCGCGAAGGCGUGGGGAGCGAACGGG